rnacentral:Y_RNA from 1 species
GGCUGGUCCGAAGGCAGUGAGUUAUCUCAAUUGAUUGUUCACAGUCAGUUACAGAUGGAACUCCUUGUUCUACUCUUUCCCCGCUUAUCACUACUACAUUUGACUAGUCUUAA